rnacentral:lncRNA from 1 species
AGGGGUUCCUAAAGUUGGAAAAUGAUUUGGAAGGAGAGGCCGAGAAGUGUUUGCAAGAGCUUGUCGAUAGAUGUCUAGUCCUCGUCUGCAAGAAAAGUCUAGAUGGAACAAAAAUUAGAUCAUGUAAAGUUCAUGAUCUAAUAUAUGACCUGUGCUUGAGAGAAGUUCAAAGGGGAAAUGUUUUUAUCAUGAACGACAUUUUCCUUGACGUAUCAGAUUCAGAAUGUCGAUAUCUCAGUAUGAAAAAAAUGCAACCCUUUAAACGCGUAACUAGUGAUGAAAUUUAUUAUUGUUCCUUUGGUCUUUAUAGAGCUCUUCUUACCCCUGUACAUCGUCAGUUGAGAGAUCAUGACAACAACGAUCUUUUGAAACGAACCCGUUCUAUUUUCUCUUUUCAACUUAUGGAGUCAUUGUUUAUUCUCCAAUCAAAGCUUAUUCAUUUCAAAUUACUCAAAGUCUUGGAGUUGAGACACAGAGAGAUUGAUAAUUUCCCUCUACAGAUACUAAGCCUCAUCUGGUUGAGGUUCCUAUCAUUGCUCUGCCGUGAGAAUUUAGACAUACCUCCAGAAAUUUGUAGGUUAUGGAAUCUGCAGACAUUCAUUGUUCAAGUGCCCAGAUUUGAUGGACCAGUUAAAAUAACUUUUCCUGAGGAAAUUUGGGGACUAAUGCAAUUAAGCAUCUCAAACUGCCCAUAUUUUAUUUGCCAGAUUGCCCGAGUGGAUCUGUUGACAAAGGAAGGCCUUUGAAUAUUUCAAACAUACAAACUAUUUCUUACUUGUCUCCACGUUGUUGCACGAAGGAGGUUAUUAUGGGGAUUCAGAAUGUCAAAGAAUUAGGAAUCUGUGCAUAUGGGAUUGACUCUGAUGGGCUUCGCAACAAUCUUGUCCAUCUGCAGCAACUUGAAACAUUGAGUCUUAAAUAUUAUUUUAGUGGAUUUUUUCCAGCAAGUGCAAAAGCUUUUCCAGCAACGCUCAAGAAGCUGAAGUUGGAAAGAACGUUGCUAAGUUGGUUGUACUUGGACAUCAUAGCUGAAUUGCCUAACCUCGAGGUGCUGAAGCUGAUGGAUGGUACUUGUGUUGGAAAAAAAUGGUAUCCAAAUGUCAGGGCAUUUACUCGAUUGAAGCUUUUGUUAAUUGAAUAUAGUUUUCUCAAGUACUGGAAAGCCACAAAUGACAAUUUUCCUGUCCUUGAGCGCCUUGUGCUUAAAAACUGCCAUAAUUUGAAAGAGAUACCCAUUGAGUUUGCAGAAAUCCACACACUACAACUGAUUGAGUUAACAAGUUGUCUUCCCGAACUUGGGGAAUCUGCAGNNNNNNNNNNNNNNNNNNACUCUUUCUCAAUUCCACAAGUCAAGUUGUACACAAAAGUUAUUUAGCUUUGCUCCAUAUUCUUUCACAAAAUAACUUUGACAAAUUUGGUUAAAACCGUACUUAAAAUGUGAGAAAAAAUAACAAGAAUAUCCCUUAUAUUUGAGGGUAGUUCAAAAUGGCUCCUUAAAUAUAUUUUUGAGCAGUUUUGGUACUUUAGUUUUGUUAAAACUCAUGAGAAUACAUUAUGUAAAUAACUACUAAUCAGUUAGUUGGUACUGUUCCAUUGAUUUGUUAGCUAGUGUAUUAGGUGAUUAGUUAGUCGAAUCAGUUAGCUAGCUGUCAAGUUGAUUAGUGGCCCAAUCAAGUAGUAAGGAGGUUGUUAGGAAACUUCUAGAAGACCAUGUGUUGAUCAUGUGAGUCAAUAAAUAGGAGGUGAUCAUACAUUGUAUUGACUAACUUUUACUCUAAAACUGUAUUCCCAGUAACUUGUUCCCUUCUCUUAUCCCUUUGUUGAGCUCAAGCUCAGCUGUAAUGGCAGCAAUGUACGAAUGCUAAGAGGUGUUUUAACAUGGUAUCAGAGCCCGCGAUUAUGGGACUCAAGAAACAAGCUAUCGAGUAUAAAUGUAUCUGCAAUACAGUAAGUUUUGCCUGAGUUUUUGUUUGUGUGUUAGUGAGGUCAGAAGAACUUAGAUCUCUAUUUGUGAGCCAUAGAUCUAUAGUUGCAGGACAUAGAUUUCGAGUUUACUGUGUUGUUUUUGAUCCAAGAUUAGUUGUAAUCUAUAAAUUGGUUAUGGCACCUAAAAUUGAUUCUAGUGAUCCUCUGUUUCUGGGAGCAUCAGAUAUAGCAGGAGCUGCACUGAUUCCCAUCAAAUUAACUGGUUCAGAGAACUAUGGAAUUUGGUGUAGAUCUAUGAAGAUUGCCCUAUUGGGAAAGAGGAAAUAUAGAUUUGUAACUGGUACUUGUAGCAAGGAAAUAUAUAGAGAGGAGUUACAUGAUCAAUGGGAGACAUGUAAUGCAGUAGUACUCCCAUGGCUAAUGAGUUCAGUAAGUGCAGAAUUAUUCAGUGGUAUUGUAUAUGCAACAAAUGCUCAUGAAGUAUGGGUGGAUCUUAAGGAGAGAUUUGACAAGGUAAAUCACAUGAGACUAUACCAAUUACACAGGGAAAUCAAUAAUCUUCACCAAGGUACUGAUUCAGUUUCAACUUACUUUACUAAACUGAAGAACUUAUGGAGUAAACAUGAUGCAGUCAUACCAACUCCAUCAUGUAAUUGUCCUAAGUCGAAGGAGUAUGCAGAAUAUUUGUAUCAGUUAAGGCUAAUACAGUUCUUGAGUGGGUUAAAUGAUGCAUAUGAUAGGCAAAAAGACAAAUAUUGAUGAAAGGAAUAACACCUGCACUUAAUCAAGCAUAUGCAAUGAUCAGUGAGGAUGAAAUUCAAUAGCUUGCUUGUGCUACAACUAUUGGUGAUAAGACUGAACCUAUUGCUAUGCAAUUACACAGAAAAAAUGCAGAGGUUGGAAUGGAAGUAGGAAUCAAGCAUCAAUAAGUUUUGGAGGACAAGGCUAUAAAGGUAAAAGGUGUGAUUACUACAAUUUUACUGGGCAUACAAGGGAAAACUGCUACAAGUUCCAUGGAUAUCCAAGUGAUUGGAGGAACAAGAAAAGGGGAAUACCAAAUCAACCAUUUCAUAAUGGCCAAGGCAGAGCUGGUCAUGGAUAUGGACAUUCAAUUGCUGGUUACAACAACAGUCAGUCAUUAACUCAUAACAUCUCUGGUCCUUAAGCAGAGAACUCAUGCUUGGAUAAGCAAUCCAGUAGGUAGGGGGUAAAGACAUUAACAAUGCUACUUUGGCCAAGGGGGAAGGAUUAUCAGAGGAAGAAUACAAUCAGAUUAUAGCACUGAUUAACAAGGAAACACAUAACUCUGAACAGAACAACAUGACAGGUAAUGUUAGUUAUUUCUCUAGUCAUAUUAUUUCACAUGAUUGGAUAGUAGAUUCAGGAGCCACACACCAUGUAGCAGUACAUAAAGUUAUUUUCUCAUACUGUCACAAAGUGGAUAAUACCAUAUGUGACAAAGUUAAUCUGCCUACUGGAGCCAAGGUUGAAAUAACACAUAUAGGAGAAACACAGGUGCUGAAGGAUGAAGUUGUGGGGGAUGUACUGUAUGUUCCAGAUUUCAAACUGAACUUGUUCUUAGUAUCUAAAAUGACUAAGCAUCUUUCUUGCUUUGUUUCAUUUUACCCUGACUUCUGUGUGUUUCAGGACCUUCAUAGUGGCAAGGUGAAGGGGAUUGGUAAGGAGAAAGAAGGACUAUACAUCCUGAAGAAUGUGUGUGAAGUAAAUGGAACUCUUAACAAUAAGAAUCAUCAAAUAUAGGUUGCAGGAGUAGAAGUAGAAGUGCAGAUGCAUGGGUGUAGUCUAUGGCAUAAAAGGCUGGGACAUCCUUCUUCUCAAGCAUUAAAGAUUCUCAAUAUCAUAAGGCACAGUAGUGAUGUAGAUAUUCUAAAUAAGUGUCAUGUUUGUCCAUUAGCAAAACCAACUAGGCUAGUUUUUCCUAUCAUUACUUCCAAAGCUACAAGAUGUUUUGAUGUUGUACAUAUGGACCUCUGGGGUCCCUAUAAGACACCUACUUUUGACAAGAAAUACUAUUUCUUAACUGUUGUUGAUGAUCAUAGUAGUUAUACAUGGUUACAUCUAUUAUAACUAAAGUCUGAUUGCAUUGUAGCCAUAAAGAACUUCUUCACUAUGAUUUAGAAUCAGUUUGGUGUUCAGAUAAAGCUACUGAGGUCAGAUAAUAGGACAGAGUUCAUUAACUCUAAAUGCAAAGAGUUGUUUCAAUCCUUAGGAAUCAUAAAUCAAAGUAGAUAUCCAUACACACCACAACAAAAUAGUGUGGUUAAGAGAAAGCAUAGAUAGAUACUAAAUAUUGCAAGAGCAAUCAGGUUCCAGUCACAGAUGCCUAUUAGAUUUUGGGGGUUAAAUAUUAAAGCUGCUGUAUAUCUCAUUAACAUACUACCAUCUUCAUCCAUAGAAGGUAAAAGUCCUUAUGAGAUGUUGUUUUGCAAGGUUCCAUCCUUGACACAUCUAAGAGUGAUUGGAUGUAAAUUUUAUGCCUUAAUAUUGCCAAGAGGUGAUAAGCUUGUAGAAAGGGCCAAGAUUGCAGUAUUGAUGGGCUAUUCUGCAACUCAGAAAGGUUAUAAACUAUUAGACUGGUGUACUAAUAAGUUUUUUGUUACCAGAGAUGUAGUGUUCAAGGAAGAUUCAUUUCCUUUUAUAGAGGAGCCAAGUUCAGAAUCUUCUGUAGAAUUUCUUACACUAAGAUCUCCCACACAUGAUGAUGCAGAAGUAGAAGAAGAUGCAGACCGUCACACAGGUCCUAGUGAGCCUUUACACGAGUCACAAACUGAAGAUACAUCAAUACAUGAUCCUAAUGGCAUUUAAGAAGAAUACACUCAUAAUUUACAGAAUGUAGAAGAGUCACUCUCAGUACCCACAGAAGUUGAACUAAGAAGAUAAUUCAGAGCUACCAAACAACCUGUAUGGCUAAUGGAUUAUGCUUCACCAGGGAAGAGGAGAGGAAAUGGAUACCAACUUGCAAAUUACCUGUCUUAUGCUAAUACUAGUUCAAAAUAUCAAGAUUUUGUGUGCAGCUUGUCCGCAGAAGUUGAACCACAAUCUUAUAAUAAAGCUAGCAGAGAUAAGAGGUGGAUUGAAUCCAUGAAGUAGGAGGUUAAAGCUCUUGAAGAAAACCAUACAUGGGAAGUGGUUGAUAUGCCCUCAGAAAAGAACAUCAUUGGAUCAAAAUGGGUGUACAAAAUCAAGUAUAAGGCCAAUGAGGAAAUAGAGAGGUUUAAGGAAAGGUUGGUAGCCAAAGCUUAUAGUCAACUGGAAGAGCUAGACUACCAUGAUACAUUUUUUCCAGUAGCCAAAAUGGUUACAGUAAGGAGUGUCAUUGCCUUAGUAGUAUCAAAAGGGUGGUGCAUAUACCAGAUGGAUGUAUACAAUGCUUUCCUACAAGGUGACCUAGAUGAGGAGGUGUAUAUGGAAAUGCCAAAUGGUUUCAAGGAGGGAAGGCAACACAAAGUUUUCAGACUAAUUAAGUCUAUAAAUGGACUUAAGCAGGCAUCAAGGCAAUGGAAUAUCAAGCUGACUGCAGCAUUGCUCAGUGCAGGUUUUACCUAAAGCAUCUAUGAUUAUUCAUUAUUUACCCUGAAGAAGUCAGAAGGAAUAGUGGUGAUUUUAGUCUAUAUAGAUGAUCUUCUGAUAACUAGUGACAAUACAGACAUGAUCAAUGCAGUAAAAGGUACUUUGCACAAGCAAUUCAAGCUCAAAGAUCUAGGUGAACUUAAGUAUUUCCUAGGUAUUAAAGUGUUAAGAUCUGCCAGUGAAGUGAUUCUGAAUCAUAGAAAAUAUGUCUUGGAGCUCAUAUUCGAAACAGGUCUUGAUGGUGCCAAACCAGCCACCACCCCACUAGAGACUAAUGCUAAAAUAACUUCAGUUGAAGUAGAUAAAGCAGCAGGUGUGAAAGGAGAUGCCAUUCAAAGAGAUACAACAUCAUAUCAAAGGCUUGUUGGAAAACUGAUGUAUGCUACAAUAACAAGUCCUGACAUCAGUUAUGCAGUGCAGACACUAAGUGAAUUCAUCCAACAACCAAAGAAAUCCCACUUGGAAGCUGCAAACAGAGUGAUAAGAUAUUUGAAAGGAACUGUAGGACAAAGUAUAUGGCUUAAGACACAACCUACUGCAGAAUUGGUUUUUUGGUGUGACUCAGAUUAGGCUGCAUGUCCAAACACUAGGAGGUCUGUUACAGGUUAUGUGGUGUAGUUUGGUAGUUCAUUGAUAUCUUGGAAGUCUAAAAAGCAGCACACUGUCUCUAGAAGCUCAGCUGAGGCAGAAUAUAGGAGCAUGGCCUCAACAUUAGCAGAAGUGACAUGGUUGGAAGGUCUGUUCUCAGAACUGAGGGUGUCUAUCACUAAGCCUAUUGUCAUCUUUAGUGAUCAUAAGUCAGCCAUCCAACUAGCUGCUAACCCCAUAUUUCAUGAGAAAACCAAACACAUUGAAGUAGAUUGUCAUUUUAUUAGAGACAAGAUCAAAGAGGGGUUGGUUCAGCCCAUGUAUGUGCAGACAGGUCAACAAGUUGCAGACAUCCUUACUAAGGGUCUCAGUCAUGAUCAACAUUCAUACCUCCAUAGCAAGCUUGGUGUGCUCAAGAUUUUGCACCCUGCAGCUUGAGAGGGAGUGUUAAAACUCAUGAGAAUACAUUAUGAAAUAACUACUAAUCAGUUAGUUGGUACUGUUCCAUUGAUUUGUUAGCUAGUGGAUUAGGUGAUUAGUUAGUCGAAUCAGUUAGCCAGCUUUCAAGUUGAUUAGUGGGCCAAUCAAGUAGUUAGGAGGUUGUUAGGAAACUUCUAGAAGACCAUGUGUUAAUCAUGUGAGUCUAUAAAUAGGAGGUGAUCAUACAUUGUAUUGACUAACUUUUACUCAAAAACUGCAUUCCCAGUAACUUGUUCCCUUCUCUUAUCCCUUUGUUGAGCUCAAGCUCAGCUGCAAUGGCAGCAAUGUAUGAAUGCUAAGAGGUAUUUUAAUAGUAACCACCAUUUUUCUGCUUUUCGCUCGAGGACUAGACUUGGAUGAACCUCGUUAAAUACUUGUAUUAGGUUUUUUUGAGUUAAUGGCAAAAAACACAUUUGAACUAUCACCUGCCAUUAAAUUACAAUAAAAAUAAAAUGGAAAAUGAAUAGUAGAUGUUUGCUCUCUUUGUUUUCAUCUGCACACGAAUUUUAAGGUGCCGAUUGUAUAAAUUCUAGUAAAAUGAGGUUUACUUGGAUUCAACUCUUUUAUGAAAUAAUUGAAAUACUUUGUAUUAAUUUUAUCAAGGUAAGUAUAUAUUUAUGAAGGUUACACACUAUUUCUCAUUUCCACAAGUCACAUCAUACAGUGGUACAAUCACAUGAUGAUGAUGAUGAUGAAGAUUCAAAUGUUGAUGUUGCAGAACAUGAUGAUAAUUUAGAUCUUCGGUUGUUAUCUGUUCAGAAUAACCUGUAAUGAGAAUGGAAACUAUAGAUUAACAAUUUGAUACUGUUAUAGACUGUUGAUGCUAGUUCAUAACCCUAUGUUUUUCAUAAAUAUAAAUUUAUUACCAAUGUGGGACAAUUGGUUCAUAAAUUUUUACCCUCUUAUCAUUUCUCUAUUUUUCCAAUGUGGGACAAUUGGUUCAUAAUAGUAGCGUUAUUUAUUAGAUGUACGGGAAUGGGCAUUUAUAUGGUGAUUCUCUUGUCUUACUUUUUACUGUUGAUGUUAGGUACUUUUAACUGUUUGUAAAUGAAGCAUUACCAUCCGAAUUUGAGACUAUCGGGAAGCAGGUUAUAGACAAAUGUCAUCUCGAUUGUUGGGAUUUUGUCAAAAUCUAAAGACAUUGGAAGAUUCGAAAGAUGUCAAGUCAUUUGCAACAGAUGAUCCUGAUGAACAACGUUUACAUGUCUUCUGUUCUUUCGGAAUUUUUCAAAUAAGACAGUGAGAAUUCAGUGAAGAAAUUGGUGAGAUUAUGUAUAGAUAGGACACUGCACUCAUUCUGUUCUCUUUUUCCCUAUACAAGUUUAUGUUUUUUUCUCAUAAACUGUGAACCUUAAAUUCAGUUAUGCUAAUGACUUCAAAUGCAAGCAUUUAUAUCAGUCAUAUCCAUGCACCGAUACAUCAGAAAAGGAAACCGAGGUAGCAAAGACUAUUCAGUAGAUCGUGCAUAACCUAAGAACUUACUAAGAACUAGUUCAAUCUCUUAACUGAAUAACUCACUAAUUAAGUCGACACCUCUCGGUUCACUGACCUUAUCAAAAUGUAUGUUUUAGUUUUAAAAGCAAUUACUGAAAGCUCAUUUCGGAAUAUAUGUAAUAGCCCAAUAUAUAUUUUUAAAAUGAAGGAUUAAUUGGUAAUUUUAACCAAUUAUUAAUGUCAAUUAAGUGAAUUAAAUUGGGCAAGCCAAAAGCCGAAACCCUUUUUCUUCUUUAGUUUUUCCGUUACUGAAGGAUUAGAAUAUAAGGGUGUUUAGUUCCAUUAUUUUUGGUACAAAAAAAAAAAAAAAUUAGCACUAUGAGCUAGAAGUCUUUUUACUUUUGUUUGGGCCAUGGCGGCCAGUGCUCCUAAGAUCACAGAAGCAAUGCUGCAGAAAAAGAAGAUUUGUUGCACUGUAGCCCCAUAAGAACCAUAAAUAGAAACCCAUGAAAUAUUAGCAGAAAUAGAGAUUUUAGGCGCAAUUCAUAGGAUAUAUAUGAGUAAUUCAAAGGAAAUAUUGAAAUAUUUGAUAGGAUUGGUUAUGUUAGCAGAUAGAUUAAAGAUGUGAACACCGUAACUUCUCCUGCCAUAUGAAGGAACUCUUCUCUUAAGGCAUAACUUUUUGUGAGUUCAAAGACGGCAGAAACUGUUUCAAGUGAGAAGCAGUAGGUAUGUAGAAUUAGUUCUAAUUCAAAUUAGCACUAUGCUAUGGUAGUGGUAUUCUUGUCGAAGAAUUGUUAUGUAUUAUUCGAGAGAUGAUGGUCCAUCAUUAUGGGUAGCUUGAAUUAGUACGCAUCUUACAAAAUAGUAAAGUAUGGUCUCUGAUUUGUAUCUUUGAGCUACUGCUUGUUGGAAAUUGUUGGAAAUUAUUGAUUUUCACCUUGAAUUGCCUAUACAAAGUGGAGUAUUAAUAUUAUUGAACACGAGUAUGAUUUCAACUAGCAUAAUUGAUUUUAUUAAUUAAUAUAUUUGCUUAGAUUGAAGCCAUUGGAGUCUAUUUGGUUGAUGUUCUACGAGUUGCGAGGUUGGGAAAAGUGUUGUUAGCGAGGGUAGUGAGACUUCAAGCUUUGGUGCUUGCUUUUUAAAUCAGCUUUAUAAAAAAAUGUAUUUUUCUACCUAGUCCAUGUGUUGGGACAAGAGUGUUCUUGGUAGAAUUGGUGGUCUUUGAUCAACUGCGGAUAUAUAUUUUGUUAUGCAUAUUGAGAAUCAUUUGAUGGUGAGUUGUGAGGUGAUGUUGGGAUAUUGGAUAUAUUUACAAGGAGAAUAUAUGUGCUGACGUAAUAUAUUAGGGGCAUACCUAUGCUGCCGUAAUAUGUUAGGGGCCUUGUACUUGCUGUCAUGAUAUAUUUACUAGGGGCAUACAUGUGCUGCCGAAAUAUGAUAGAGGCAUACCUAUGCCGCCGUAAUAUGUUAGGGGUCUUGUACUUACUGUCGUAGUAUACUUUUGGGGCAUUAUAUAUGUUGUCGUGGACUUGUCGGGGUGCUAGGCUGAUCACCUUCACUGUCGUUUAUAAAAAGCCGUGAGAGUGGAUUGCGUUGAGAGAUACAUAGUGACUUUUGAAAUGUUUGUUGAACCUUAUUGAGCAUUAUAUUAUAAGAUAUAUGUUGUGCAUAUCAUUUAUGUAAUCGUUGUGCGUUGUAUUUUCUAAUACUUAUUUCAGGGGUAUUAAAUUAGCAGGUCGGGGAUCUUAGUAGGUUAUAUUUAUAUAUAGCUCACUCCUUACUUUACUUUCAUGUCUGCAGAUACUUUGUGGAAGGUGAGAUUAGUGGCUAAUGGUCCAUUUGUGAGGAUAUUAUGUUGCUGAGGUGAGUCUUCACAUUGUUCGGCGGGGCUGUCGUUUCAGAUCGAGCUAUUUUAGCUUAUAUUUCUCUUCAUUGGUUUGCAUGCCUGAGAGUUGAAAUUAUCUAUCUCUAUUUUAGAUGCUUCAUGAUCUUAGCGUGGAAUUUCGGCUAGAGAAUAAGUUCUCGAGUCCAUUGCGUUUUGCACCCUAAUGUAUGACCUCUUUUGUGAUUUACACCCUAAGCUCUUAUCUUUCUUGCAAAAUAAUGAAACUACUCUUUUUCUAUAUUUUGCACGAUGGCAAAAUUGCAAUAUGAAUAUAUUUUAAAAAAAAAUAGCAUAGAAUUAUUUUUAAAAAAAGUGCUAAAUUAACCAAUUAAAAGGUCCGAUUCAAUAAAUAAUUUUGUAAAUGUUCCUUCUAUGGGUGAAAUCUUAUUAUUAAAAUUUUAAUUAGUGAUAAAAUGGAUAAACGAUUUAUUCUGAGAACUAAAACAAUUAGGUCUCUCUUAUUACUAUUUUCACAUAGAAGAAGAGAACAAAUUUUGAAUUUGGUUAGAUUAAGAUCUUCUAUUGUAUCACUAUCGAUCAGUUAUUUUUAUGACUCAUCACUUUUUGUAUGAUAUUUAAUAUAAGCUCAUAUAAUUUUUUACUAAAAUGGAUGAAAGCUUAUAAGGUCAUUAAAACUUUAAUUAGGUAUCUCGAGUAUGGGAACUCCUGAAGCAGCUACGACUUCCUCAAGACCUCGUUAUGCGUGCACCUGCUGAUCAAACUUCUGUGUACAUCAAAGUUUUUUUAAUUCUUAGAUUAUCCAACAACAAAAAAAAAAUAAUCAUCAAUGCACUUUUAUAUGCAUCAAUAUUAUUCAUCUGGUUUAUAUAUGCAAUGUCAAAAGCUGCCAAGCGAAAAGUGGGUAUUUGAUUUGUAGUUUAGAAUUGUCAUCUGAGGUAAACUUUUAUGUGGUUUUGACAUAAAGCUUUCUGAGUUACCCAUAAUCUUUAGAGAGCUGGGAAGAAUGUUGAUCCCGUGAAAAUGACAUAGACAAUCAUUUUUUAUUUAACAGUUUCUCUAGUUUUGUGCCUUUUUUUAGGAGAAAAAAAUAUUUAUAUUUCAAUUUUGCCCUCGUGGAAAAUUUUUUAAAAGAGUAAGUUUCAUUAUUUUGCAAGAAAGAUAGAAGGUUAGGGUGCAAAUUAUAAAAUAAAAUAGGAUAGGGUGCAAAUCACAAAAGAGGUCAUACGUUAGGGUGCAAAACGCAAUGAACUCCUAGUUAUUGAUGCGUUAGAGUUGCACAUAUCUUAGUGCUUAUUAAUUGAAAAAGUGUAAGGAAAGUUGGUUGUCCCAACAGGUGGUAUUAGCGGGUGCUAGUCAGGUCUAGGAAUUAUUUUGGGACGUGACAAUAUAGCUAGAAGGAUUGAAAUUCAAGAUUUUACUGUUUGAACUUUAAAUUUUACUGUUACAAUACUAUGUUUUAGCAUUAUUCUCUAACUUCCAAGGAGAUGUAAUUUCUCUAUAUUUUAAAUAAGGGGGCAUCUAUUUCUCGACCGCUUUGAACUGUUUAUCUUUUGCCAAGGUUCUAACGGAAACAUCGUCUCUACCUCUGACGGUAAGGUUUGCGUAUACUCUACCCUCCCCAGAUCCUACUAUAUGUAUAAAGCACUACAUUUUGUAGAAAUAAAGGACCAUUCAUUAUAUUACAGGGGCCUUAGUGAACCUACUAUGUAAAGUUAAGGGACUGUUUGGGCUGAUAAAUUCUGCAGAUAUAAUUUCAGCCACUCAAAUGUUAUCUUGUUUAGGUACUUUUAUCUUUUGUUCUUUAUACAUUUGUUUAUUGUUACUCAUAAUAUUGUCAUUUAUUCUUUCCUUUUCUCAAAUACCUUUUUCAGUGAUUUUGAAGCUGUCAGAUCUGCCAUUGAAAGGUUAGUUUCCAUUAAUUAUUCUCUCAUUUUAUUAAAGUUUUAGAGUAAAAAACACUUGUAGUGGCUUAUCAAUGUAUAAUUUAGCUAUGUUUCUCCAACUCCUGAAAAAUAACCACAAUCUAUUUUGCGUACUGGGAGUUAAAUUAUUUUUACACGUUAAAUGAGCUAAAGCUAGGACUAAACUCACUGUUGUAACAUAACUGACCUGAACAUGAAACAGACUAAUAAAUCGCCUGAUCUUGUUUGGUUUAUGCUUUCCUUUUUUGCCAAUCUGCGUAUCGCGUUAUUUAUAAUACCAUUGACAUCUUGCAACCCUGCAGGUUUCAGGUCAUAACCGCAAACGAAAGAAACGAGAAUACAGUGGAUAUGGCUCAUGCAAGUGUGGCUUCUCUUAUGAGAACAAUAGAAUCGCUCUUGACGUCCAAUUCACCAAUGCAAACUCUAAUCUGUGAUCACAGAGACGAAAUUUGCGCUCUUCAUGAAAAGAUUAGUUCCCUGGAAGUAUUUCUCAAGAACUUUGAGAAAAACAAUGUUUCUGGGGAACUGACAGAUUUGGAAGUGCAGAUAAAAGAAGUUGCAAAUAUUGUUGAACAAACAAUUCAACUAAGAGUAACUGAAGUUGUAUUGAAAAGGCACAUGAGAGUAAAGGCACAUGACAGGCUUUCUGAUAGCCUGCAACAAGUAGCAGAGGAUAUUGAUCGUAUUUGGAAAGAGUCGACAAAUAUCCAGGAUAAGGGCAAACAUGCAUCAAAGGAAUCAACGGUUCAAGAGUUUCUAAGCUCAUCAAGAAAUAUUCUGAAUGUUGAGAAUAGUAUGGUUGGACGUGAUGAUCAAAGGAAAGAGUUGGUAGAAGAUCUUACUAGAAGCUACUGUGGUGAACCCAAAGUCAUCGCGAUUGUCGGGAUGGGUGGCAUAGGUAAAACAACCUUAGCGAACGAAGUUUACAAUGAUGCGUGCAUUCGUUCUCAUUUUGAUGUUUGUGCCUGGGCUACUAUUUCGCAACAGCACAAUGUAAAAAAAAUCUUGUUGAGCCUUCUGCGUUCUACUAAGAGUGAUUCAUUUGACAUGAACAAUGAAGCAGAGCUUGCGAAUAUGCUACAAAAGAGUUUAAAGGGUAAGAGAUAUUUAAUUGUAUUGGAUGACAUGUGGAAAACUGAAGCAUGGGAUGCCGUGAGACUAUGCUUUCCAAGUGAAAACAAGGGGAGUGGAAUAUUAUUGACGACCUGUAACAUUGAAGUAGCUCGCGAUGCUGGUACAGAGAAUCUUUCUGCAGAUGGAUUUAAUGGGUCCAGAUGAGAGUUGGAACCUUUUCAAAAGUGUUGCAUUUGCAAAUGAAGCAUUACCAUCUGAGUUUGAGACUAUUGGGAAGCAAAUUGCAGAGAAAUGUCACGGGUUACCACUAACUAUUGCCGUGGUUGCUGGGCUUCUCAAAUCUAAAAGGGUAGAAGACUGGGAAAAUGUUGCUAAAGAUGUCAAGUCAUUUGUCACAAAUGAUGUUGGAACGAUGUUCACGUGUGCUUAGGUUGAGUUACAAUCACUUGACUAGCGAUCUUGUCUAAUGCAUUUCGGAAUUUUUCCAGAAGACAGUGAGAUACCAGUGAAGAAUUUGAUGAGAUCAUGGAUGGCUGAGAGGUUCCUAAAGUUUGAAAAUGACUUGGAAGGAGAGGCUGAGAAGUGUUUGCAAGAGCUUGUCGAUAGAUGUCUAGUCCUCAUCUGCAAGAAAAGUCUAGAUGGAACAAAAAUUAGAUCAUGUAAAGUUCAUGAUCUAAUAUAUGACCUGUGCUUGAGAGAAAUUGAAAGGGAGAACAUUUUUAUCAUGAACGACAUUGUGCUUGAAUUUGAUUCAGGAUGGACAUAUCUCAGUUUGCGAGAAAUGAAGCUCUUUAAACGCGUGACUGGUGAUGAAAUUGAUUAUU